CCUACGGGAGGCAGCAGUAAGGAAUAUUGGUCAAUGGACGCAAGUCUGAACCAGCCAUGCCGCGUGGAGGAUGAAGGUCCUCUGGAUUGUAAACUUCUUUUAUCUGGGACGAAAAAAGGGUUUUCUAACUCGUCUGACGGUACCAGAUGAAUAAGCACCGGCUAACUCCGUGCCAGCAGCCGCGGUAAUACGGAGGGUGCAAGCGUUAUCCGGAUUCACUGGGUUUAAAGGGUGCGUAGGCGGGCAAUUAAGUCCGUGGUGAAAUACCUGAGCUUAACUUGGGAACUGCCAUGGAUACUAUUUGUCUUGAAUGUCGUGGAGGUUAGCGGAAUAUGUCAUGUAGCGGUGAAAUGCUUAGAUAUGACAUAGAACACCUAUUGCGAAGGCAGCUAACUACGCGAAUAUUGACGCUGAGGCACGAAAGCGUGGGGAUCAAACAGGAUUAGAUACCCUGGUAGUCCACGCCCUAAACGAUGAUUACUCGACAUUGGCGAUACACAGUCAGUGUCUGAGACGAAGACGAUUAAAGUUAAAGUACCACCGUACGGGUAAGGUAACGUACCGACCGAAGGUUAGUUAAACGUUAACGAAAGGAAGUUAGACGGCGUUGAGACGUUGCCGACGGACGACGACGAGGGAGGAGG
rnacentral:rRNA from 1 species